ensembl:lncRNA
GAAUUCAUACAAAUUAGUAUGGAUGCCAAGUACUACAUCAAUUAAAAUAAAAUAAUGAAUAGCGACCCUGAGACCACACAAAGCAAUUAUGCUAUUUUAGCUAAGGAUGUGGCGUGAAAUUCUGAUGUGCUAUUUUGAAGCAGUAUUGUAGGGUAAUGAGUGUUCCAAAAAUGACAGCAGGCAGAACUUGUCUUGUUACAAUGAUUAUUUAUUAAAUUUAAAAUAUCUUUAGCACAGAUUAAAAAUCAGACACUUCCAACUAUUAUGAUCAUCAUGGAUUGAAAAUAAACAUUCCUUUAAAAAAAAAAAAAAAACAAUAACAACAGUCUUUUCCACCUUCAAGUCCAACCUUGAGCAAAGGACGCCUUACUUCUUCUAUCAUAAAUAUCUACAUUUCAAUGCAUAGGGCUGAGGCAAAUCUGACUGUCAUGUAUUUUUCUUUCGCAGUGUGAGUUGGACACCUGCCAUCCUAUGGCUGUUUUUCAGUCUUUAGAUGCCCUAUCCCAUAAUAAUAAACACUGGCAAAUUAACUUGAGUGCUCAUGUGUAAAUAAUAGUGGUAAGUGCUUCGUAUAAAAUAAAAUUACACUCUGCCUCUCCUCACUCACGUGUUUGAUUUGGCAGUUGGAGAGUAAUUGCAAAAUAUAUUGCCACUAUUGUUUUCAGCCAUAGAGGUGGAUUGAAUCUUUGCCUUGACCUACAGUAGGACUGAUACAGAUCACUGCAAUAAACUGUUCCACAGGAUUUCACUUUUGACCAGAGCCUGACCCUUACAACACAGCUAAACGUCUUCUCGUCCUUUUCCCCUCUCUUCUUCUCCUCCUCUCCUCCUCUCUUCCUCUCCUCCUCUCCUCCUCUCUAGCCUGUCGUUCACUCAAGCCCUGUGAGUCUCUGAGAGUCUCUGAGAGAAUGUGUGUGUGCGUGAGUUUGAGCGUGUUUGCCUCAACCCUAACUGUUAACACAGACGUUCAGACAGGUCUCCACCGACAUGAGCGAGAGUACGCUGAGAAUGGCGGGCCAAAAGGAAAAAGUCACAGACAGCGGUGGAGCGACAAUGAAAGAAAGAACUGCAGGAUGUUUUUUUUUUGUUUUGUUUUUUUACUUUUUCUUCAACAAAGCCAUCUCUGUUUCACUUCUGAGUUCACAAGUCUGUGUUCGUUUCACCCCUCUUUUUCCAAAAUCACAUCUUUUCAUUUUUUUUUUUUUUAAUUUUUUUUUUUUUUAAGUACAUGCCAUAUGAGACUGGGAUUAUAAAAGUACCUGAAAGAAUUUGCUAGAAUAUCAGCAUGCAUAGCUGUUUGAUAUUUACACAGUUAUGUACAGAAAUGGGCGGUUUACAGACUAUUACAGCUUUAGAGAUAUUUACAUCUGGAGGGAUCAUAGGGUGGGAAGGGCAGGGCAGGGGAGGAGAGGGCAGGGGUCAUGGGGUCAUAUAGACAUGUGAGAAACUCAUCGCAUGCAUAUGAACAGAAUGGACAGAACACACAUUCUACAGAAAACUAGAAGAGAACCGUUAGAUCCAUAAUAACAUGACUGCUACCCGAGGGCUAAAGUAUAGCGUAACGCCACUGAGCUACUGCACGUCAACUACACCAUGAGCACAGGAUGUUUGGGAUACGUUUAAAAUCACCAUGGUAACAUUUAAUCAACCGCACUAGUAAAAGCAACAGCAAGAACUACAGAACACUAGGACCCAGGGGAGGAGUUUUUGCUGGUGAAUGACAUUGUUCUGUUCAUCCCAACCACCAGACCUUUGGCUAACUGACAAACGGCUGCCUUUGGCUGACUGACACACGGCUGUCUUUGAGACAAGCGCUCCUGUAACCUUCGUGAGUGGCAGACGUCACCAAACCCUACAUGUACAUAUGGAACACCCACUUCCUAUGGUAAGCUCUGUCUCCUGCGGGUGGCCAGUCAUGGCAGGCUUUACAAACAAUGAGCCAAGAGCACACAGCUGACACAGAGAAAGUUCUGGAAGUUGAACACAAGCGCUGUACACUCAGUUAACAAUUUGGACUCCAGUAUGUCUCACAGCCCUCGUACCUUUACAAGCAAGAAAAAUAAUAACUGACCUUUUAUUUGGGUUUUAUUGCGAAUCAGGAUCGUUUUGGACUUGAUUAUUGUUUAGCUUAAUGGCACACAGAAAUAGGAAGACAUUAAUUUAUUAGCAGGCCAUUAAGGUCUGAGAGUUAUUAUUGCAGAUUAUUAAAGCAUCUUCACAUCUGGGUUUAGAGGAGGCUGUAGCAUUGGUCUGCUCUAGGUUAGCUCUUAUCUUGAGUUCUAGGAAGGUGUGUGUGUGUGUUUGUGUGGAUGUGUGUACUGCUGAGGAUGUGUGUGUGGGUGUGUAUGGGUUCAUCCAGUGAUCCUUUGGCUUUUCACAUAAUCGGUAUUGCUGUUGAAUUGCCUAUAUAUUUGUAUUUAGAGCAAAGUAAACAAGACUCCAUGAAAUCAAACAGGACUGAUAACCAUCUUCUAAAAGAAACCUGCAACCUCUUUUGCACUUGUGCGUGACCUACCCCCCCUCUCUCCUUCCCCUUCUAACGGGAAUCAAAUGGCUCAUCUGUGCCAGGACCUCAGACAGUAGUUCUACACAUUACACAUGGCAACCUCCACAAGCUGUACACAAAUCUUUUGGUUGACAAUAUUUAAAAAAAAAUAAAAAUAAAUCACAACCAGAGUAGCAAUAAUUAUACACAAAACCCCAACAUCUCCACAGACACUAGCUUUUAAGACUUUUUUGUUUGUUUUUUGUUACCACACACAAGAAUAAAACUGUGUACACAUAUUUGUUGCUGUGACUUCUUUUGCUUUUUACAGAUUUGUACAAAGAGCACUCCUCCCCCCCCCCCCUCCCCCCCCCACUCUCGCUCUCUCUCUCUCUCUCCCCGUGCCUC